GGACGAACGCUGGCGGCGUGCUUAACACAUGCAAGUCGAACGUGAUUUUUGUGGAAAUUCUUUCGGGAAUGGAAAUGAAAUGAAAGUGGCGAACGGGUGAGUAACACGUGAGCAACCUACCUUACACAGGGGGAUAGCCGUUGGAAACGACGAUUAAUACCGCAUGAGACCACAGAAUCGCAUGAUAUAGGGGUCAAAGAUUUAUCGGUGUAAGAAGGGCUCGCGUCUGAUUAGCUAGUUGGAAGGGUAAAGGCCUACCAAGGCGACGAUCAGUAGCCGGUCUGAGAGGAUGAACGGCCACAUUGGAACUGAGACACGGUCCAAACUCCUACGGGAGGCAGCAGUGGGGAAUAUUGCACAAUGGGGGGAACCCUGAUGCAGCGACGCCGCGUGAGCGAAGAAGGUUUUCGAAUCGUAAAGCUCUGUCCUAUGAGAAGAUAAUGACGGUAUCAUAGGAGGAAGCCCCGGCUAAAUACGUG
rnacentral:rRNA from 1 species